rnacentral:rRNA from 1 species
GCAUAUCAAUAAGCGGAGGAAAAGAAACCAACAGGGAUUGCCCUAGUAACGGCGAGUGAAGCGGCAACAGCUCAAAUUUGAAAUCUGGCUCUCGGGCCCGAGUUGUAAUUUGUAGAGGAUACUUUUGAUGCGGUGCCUUCCGAGUUCCCUGGAACGGGACGCCAUAGAGGGUGAGAGCCCCGUCUGGUUGGAUGCCAAAUCUCUGUAAAGUUCCUUCGACGAGUCGAGUAGUUUGGGAAUGCUGCUCUAAAUGGGAGGUAUAUGUCUUCUAAAGCUAAAUACCGGCCAGAGACCGAUAGCGCACAAGUAGAGUGAUCGAAAGAUGAAAAGCACUUUGAAAAGAGAGUUAAAAAGUACGUGAAAUUGUUGAAAGGGAAGCGUUUAUGACCAGACUUGGGCUUGGUUAAUCAUCUGGGGUUCUCCCCAGUGCACUUUUCCAGUCCAGGCCAGCAUCAGUUUUCCCCGGGGGAUAAAGACUUCGGGAAUGUGGCUCUCUUCGGGGAGUGUUAUAGCCCGUUGUGUAAUACCCUGGGGGGGACUGAGGUUCGCGCAUCUGCAAGGAUGCUGGCGUAAUGGUCAUCAACGACCCGUCUUGAAACACGGACCAAGGAGUCGUCUUCGUAUGCGAGUGUUCGGGUGUCAAACCCCUACGCGUAAUGAAAGUGAACGCAGGUGAGAGCUUCGGCGCAUCAUCGACCGAUCCUGAUGUUCUCGGAUGGAUUUGAGUAAGAGCAUACGGGGCCGGACCCGAAAGAAGGUGAACUAUGCCUGUAUAGGGUGAAGCCAGAGGAAACUCUGGUGGAGGCUCGCAGCGGUUCUGACGUGCAAAUCGAUCGUCAAAUAUGGGCAUGGGGGCGAAAGACUAAUCGAACCUUCUAGUAGCUGGUUUCCGCG